UGUCAAUGAUGUACAGAACCAUUUCUACUGUAAGAUAUAUUGUAAGAAAGAAGAAAAAAAAUAUAUGCAUCCCUUUUCCAAUACUCGGAUGUUUUGGGCUAGUUGCGGGUCUUCUGUGCGGUCCCAUUACGUUUAUUUACGCAUUUACUUUUCUUAUGUUUCUUGUACCUUGUUCUUUUUUCAUUGGCUUAGGCUUAUUAGGGUGUGGCCAACAUGAGAGGAAAAGGGGGAGGGGUUUUGGGAGUUUUUGGAGGGAAAAAAGAACAAUAGAAAACUAGCCAGCUCUUGUUUAUGAGUGCAUUAAGUAGCUUAAGGCUAAAAAAAAACAAACAAACAAACAAAAAAACUUUUCUUCAGGGAGACUUAACAGCAGAUGUAUUGUAUCUGAGAAGAAGAUUUGAGCAUUCAGAAUGGCCUGCAGUCAUGGUUUGGCAGGAGAGAGCGCUGCCACUGCCGCAUGAUAGAUUCGAGGACUAAACAGAGCCGACUGAAGUUUCAAGGUGAGGAGGCUUUUUAGGAGCUGGAAGAUGGGACCGGCUAACUCCAUUGUGAUCAUGGCUUCCAUUAAAGCUAACACAGCUGCGUAGAAGCCUCAUCUGUCAUUGUGAUACGGAACAAGGCCCCUUUGGAGGUAGACAUGCUCUUUCUACGGCAUGGGAUGACGCCAAAUAAACCAUCGCGUGUUUACUACGAUGAAUCAAGUCCUUCCUCUGUGCUUCUUCGUUCAUGGAUCCAAUCUGUCCUAGCACCGUCAUUCAUUCUUCUCAGCACCGUUCAUUUUUUUUCUCCUACGCAAAUGCAAUGCCGACAUUACGAGUCCCUCCGACUGACUUUCCAUUUUUUAUUUAUUUAUUUUUUGUAUUUUUUUUUAGAUGCUCUAAGUAUCUAGCGCCAGUCCACACUUCAUCAGGUUUCACGCUGAGAAACUCACAUUAGCAGUCUGAAGAAGCAUGGCCUCCAUCAGAGCCCCAAGACAACAGCUGAAAAAUGCUAGCCCCGGGCACCUUCACCAGGUCACUCCUGUUUGUAAACGCAAGACUUUCCAGCUGCGCUGACCACGGAGGAGUCCGGCUACCAGCGUUCCAUGGCUUUAAAGUCAAUGUACUUCAUUAUGUCCUGCCAGGAUGCGUUCUUUUGAGCGUCUAAAGAGAGACGAAAAGCCACCCCAGAGGCCAAAAAUUGCAGGCUGUCGGUUUCAUCGCAGGACCGAAACAGACCUCUUUAUAAAUGAGCCACACACAGAGAGAGAUGGGGAGAACCAUUUGAAUUACAAAAACUCCUCGGCCUCUUUAGGAAACUGAAGGAGUAGUUGGUGUGCA
ensembl:lncRNA